rnacentral:tRNA from 4 species
CGGGGAUUAGUUCAGUUGGCUAGAACGCACGCAUGGGGUGCGUGAGGUCACCCGUUCAAGUCGGGUAUCCCCGACCA